GACGUCGUCGCCCCUCGCGUGGUCUCCUUCUCCCGACGCCGCCGCCCAAUGCGGCCGCCCGCCGUGGCCUCUCCUCUCCCUGGCGCUGCAGCCCGUCGCGCGGGAUCUCCUCCAUCCGUCGCCGUCGCCCGCCCUGCGGGGUCUCCUCCCCCGACGCCGCCACCGGCCGCCGGAUCUCCUCCAACCGAUGCCACUACCCGCCACGAGAUCUCCUCCCCGAUGCCGACGCCGCGGCGGUGCACCUCGCCGGAGAUGAGGAAGAUGGUCACGGGAAGCUCUGGAAAAAAAGAAGCCAAGGGAUUCAAUGAAAAAAUAAAUCAGACCUUACAUGUGGACCCGACCUGUCAGUUUCGUCGUCAAACUCGCUAAUUUGGUGGAUUUGGGUUUUCUAAAAGUAAUUAGUUCUGAAGUUGUGGUUUUUUUUUUGCAAACCCCUAGAGUUGUGCCCGAAUGAAACACUAGCCUCAAAAGGUGUGGUUUUGUGAAAUUUACUCUUCUUCUUUCAAUCGUCGGACUCCAGCAAACCUCCACUGUCUCCGACUACUGGCUGGCUACUGUCACCGAACUUACUGCUAACGCCACCCGCCAUCUCAUGGCCAAUUGUUGACUUCUCGUCGUCGUACUUACAGUAGGAUGCAAGCGAGAUUCGGCUUAUGCCACACUUUUAAACCACUUUGGAAGUGCCACUUCAAAUAUUUUACUCAAAAUUUGACUUUAGUGGAUUUUGGUUUAGAAGAACAACAUAAGCAGGAUUUCGGUUGCGUCCCUAACUCACACAUCGAUCCUUCGCGACAAAUCCCUAAGCCCCCGAAUGACCACCAAAUUGAUGUUGUCCUCGCUUAGAUUGCGCCACCUCGCCAGAACAACUUCAUAACCUGCUACAUAUACAAGUAGAUCAUGACAGAGAAAAAGUCCAAGGCCACAAUGAGCAACUAUUUUUACAUACAUGAAAACUUUCAUAGAUGGUGCAUAACAUUUUUAUUUUUGAAAAUAUUUCUUAGAAUCUGGGUGAACCAUUAGUUAAUGAACACGAACAUUUUAUUUGGCAUAGAUGAGCAUUUUUAUUACGCAAGUCCAAUGCAUUCCAAGAGAAACAUUUUUCAUGCGAAGAUUACAUUUUAUUGGUUGAAAUAAUAGAAACUAUGUGAACAUUUUGUAUAACUUUAAUUGAUAUACAUGAACAUAUCAAAAUUAUAUUCUUUUUAUUUACUCCCUCCGUCCCAUAUUAAGUGACUCAAAUUUGUUUAAAUAUGGACGUAUCUAUAUACUAGAAUACGUCUAGAUACAUGUAAUAGAAAGUCACAUAAUAUGAGACGGGAGAGUAUAAUUUUCUAAUUAUACAUGAACAGAUAUGAAUUUCAUGACUUUUAUAAUUAAUGUUCAUAUCAUUAAUUAUCAAAGAAUAAACAAAGGGAAUCAGAAAAUAAAAAUAAAAAAUAAAAAAUGAAAAUGAAAGAAAAGCACAUGCGGAACCAACUUGGGCCGGGCCCAAAUCGACAGGCCUCUUUGAUGCAACGGGUGGCGGAUAAGAUAUGGCGACGGACGGCAUCCACCGAUCUUUCUACUGCGAAUCUCCGCAGAUCCGCGCCGCCGCCGUUCUGCUAUGCCCGCUCAAAAAUGAAAAUGACAGGUGCCAUUUUCUGCGCCAAGGCGAACGUCGCCGGCACGCACAAAUUAACACGUAGCCAGCCUCCAUCGACCAAAUCAACCGACACGAGACAAAAAGUCACCGACGAGGAAACACAGCGCCGACGACCCACGGUACGACGUCUCUGUUUUCCGCCGACCGAUCGCUCGCAAGCCUGUAAGCCGCCCUGGACUGGAAAGCGAACUGCCCCGCACAGCAGGCCAGAUAGCAGCACGUACGUCGGACCAAGGCCCGACCAGUCCUCCCAAGUCCGAACUUGGCGUGGCGACACGAGUCUACUUCCAGCCUCUUAGUCAGCGUUUGGCCAGUUGCCACUAUCCUCAACCUGUCAACCAUUUUGUGUGGUUUAUAUACACCGGAACUUCCCACCAGAGUUGAUCGAAGGCCAUAAUUAACUGUAAGUUUGGUCAAUACAGUAGAACAUUCCUCGGUUACUGAUGCAGUCUGCUAGUGUAAUCUUCACGGUAACAAAAGAAACAACUCUUUUCAUUUCUAUUUUAAGGUGUCCAUCCAGGAUUGUUUAUUGCAUCCCCAAAGAGCCAUGUGCUUUUGGAUUUGUUGGAGUACUAUCUUUGUCAUUUCUAUUUUAAGGUGUGUCCAUUCAGGAUUGUUUA